ACCGGAGGAUCCAAGCGUUAUCCGGCUUUCUUGGGUUUAAAGGGUGCGUAGGCGGCCUAUUAAGUCAGGGGUGAAAGACGGUAGCUCAACUAUCGCAGUGCCUUUGAUACUGAUAGGCUUGAAUACACUUGAAGUAGGCGGAAUGUGACAAGUAGCGGUGAAUGCAUAAAUAUGUCACAGAACACCGAUUGCGAAGGCAGCUUACUAAAGUGUGAUUGACGCUGAGGCACGAAAGCGUGGGGAUCAAACAGG
rnacentral:rRNA from 1 species